rnacentral:misc_RNA from 1 species
UCUCCGUUGGUGAACCAGCGGAGGGAUCAUUACAGGAUCGAAAGACUCCUAUAACCCCUGUGAACUUACUACAAAUACGUUGCUUCGGCGGGUGCCCCGGGUCUCCCGGGGCGUUCAGCCCGCCGGCAGCCUUCAAAUUCUGUUUCUUUGCGUUGGCAUCUCGAGUAUACAAAAAUAAGUUAAAACUUUCAACAACGGAUCCCUUGGUUCUG